UGAAGUAACUAGCUGAAGUGAGAAUACGAGAAUCAGAUGGGGGCUGAGGAGAUGGAAAGACCAGACUCUGCUUCCGUGGCUUCUGAACCCUGCAGAGCGCUGCCCCCUUGGGGGUGAGGGCUGCUCUGUAAAAGGACAGGGCCUCUAAGGAAACAAUGAAAACCAACCACACUGGGAAGUGGUGAUGAUCUGACCGAGGAGAGCAAUGUCCUGUCUUGAGAUGGGUGGAAUGUGGUAGACAGAGUGGCUAGUUAACCCAACAAAGGUAAAUGGUCUACUGUUUUCAGUGGGAAAUACAGUGGCUGGCACGAGGAAUACACA